ACAAAUGCCAGGGCAGGUCUGACACUGGCUCAGACACUGGCUGUGCCGAAGUGAGACGCUGCGGGGCUCUUAUGAAAAGAUGACCAGGAAGUUCCCUCGUUCGUUCGCGUCUCAGCUCCAGCCGCACUCUUCAUCCGGUUCUCAGUCCUCUCGUCACUGUCAAGGCCGCCUUCCUCUCCUGACCACCCAGUCUUCCAGCCUUCAGCCUGCUCUCCAACAAGACCCGCCCCUCUCCGUUUUCUGCCCCACCUCUUUCCCUCCUCUCGCAGCCCCUUCCUACUACCCCACCUUAAGGAUCUCUAUGCCCAGCACCUCCAGACUCUCAGCCAAGCGCACUGUCCACCUCCCUCCCCUCUCCUGUUACUCCUCCAUCCUCGUCCCUACUCCCCCCAACAGCCCUACUGAAUAGUUCCCUUCUCUCUAGUCCCCACCUUCGACCCACCCACCCGCCCCCAACCACCUCAGGUGAGCCACCCAGCUCCUCUUGGGGAGAGGCUUCCCUCCUGCGGCCGCCAUUCGGAAGUACCAGGACUGUGGGCACCUGGAAGCUUGACCUUGUAGACAAGGAAUGCAGGACCCCAGAGCCAAUAUGGAGCACCUCCCUGAGUAAAACCCUGGCUCCCUGGGUGGAAAGAAUAUACAUGGACGUGUCACAUCCUUCACCUUCCUAGACAACUGUGGCAAGCUCAUCUCACGUGACAGGAAGGACCACUGUGGCUGGCUGCUGGGCCAGCCUUGCUUGAGACCCUUUUGGAUUCUGCAGAUAAUAGACUGUUUGUCCAAGUUGAAAGAGGUCUGAAGUAGUCCGUGCCUGCUCAUUAUAAACCUGGGGACAAUGUCAUCAAGGGACACUGGAGACAAUCUAAGAAAUUAUACUCCCCAAAACAUUAGAUCCAGGUGCUGUGGACAUGUAAGAUGUGUCUUAGCUGGUUUCAGAAUGAUGGUUGGGGACAGAAGAAGCUUGAGAAGCCUCGACUUGGGUGGGAACCCUUCACCCUAUUCAGGAAGAAUAUCCCCAACUUCAAUAUGGGGACAUGGGAAGCCAUGCUGAGUGGGCAUCUCAGCAUGUUUCCUUAUACUCGCUUAAAAUAUAUUGAUUAUGUUUAUUGCCACAGUA